CAGCUGGGGUUUAGUCCUGUUUUCUCCUCAGAGCAGAAGUCCUGGGAUGCCGUUCUGGACUGAUUGUCAGUUUUUUCUCCUGUCCUUGAGCUAUUCUAAUGCCAGACAUCUGUGGCUUUACACAGCCAGGCUUUCAGUUAGAGAACUUGGUUAGCUCAGGUCAACAAAUGCUGCUCUGAGAACACUGACUCCCAUGUGGGGAGACUCUGCACCUGGAGCUCCGGGAGAGCCGGCUCAGGCCUCUUCCUGCUAUCCAGGGAACUGCAGUGGCGUUGGAGGGCCUUGCUGGGGCUGGGGCUGGGGAGAAGGGAUUCCAACCCUACUGAUAAUUCGUUUGGAAACACCGGGCUGUGGAUUUCAGAAGUUCUUGGGCAGCCUGAUUACCACUGGCAGUGAGCCGGGGACGAAGCCGAAGCUAUGAGUGACAGACGGAAAGAACUGGGGGCUUUGGUGAACCAGAGAACACUUAGCUCCUCCAGCCCUGAAGCAGGCGUCACCGCAGGGCUUAUGGUCCUAAGAGCCACUUAGUUUCCUUAUUCAUUAAACUAGUUUAAUUUGGGUUUUCUGCAUCCUGGAGGACACCAAGUCGGUGUGCGGAGGGACCCUGUAGACACGUGUGCAAAGAAUAAGCCGACGAUCAUGGAAUUUCUGAUGACGCCACUGACACGUGGGAUGGAGGCCUCCUUCCCAGGGCACCCCUACACUCAUGACAAUGAAUCCUGGCUCUUAUUCACCCCUUUGGAUUUCACAAGCAAGUAAGAAAAGAGAAGGACAGAAUUAAACAUGGGGACAGAUGAAGAAGUAAAGAAGAUGAAAAUGAGGAAGAUAAAAAACAAACUGAAGACACAAUGUGAACCCUGGGAAUUCAAGGCUGAAUAGUACGAAGUCCUUUCCUCACAGAGUUCAGGACCCAGGAGUGGAGGCCAGAUAAGGGUUCAUUGAGCACAGACAUAUUAGAAAAUAACAAAGGAAAGAGGAUACUUUUUGGCGGUGGUAUUGUCUAAAACAUGAGAACACUUCAAGACCAAGACCAAGAUGGGGGUGUCUGGCUUAUGGUCUUCAGAGAAGGAGAAAGUCGUGUGCGUGCAGAGGCUGAGGGCCACACAGCAAGCUGUGAUUUCAUAGCAGUACAGAGUUGUGUUUGUUCCAGACUGCGCUGGCCUUGAGGAAAAGACAAGGAUGUGUCCAAUAAUUAUGAUGAGACUGAAUAUCUAACAAAGCUAGUAGGGGUUUAUUUUAAUGUCCUUCCUUAAGGUUCCUGUAGCUUCUGUUUUGUUCUGAGUAGCUUUUGAAGUUUCUCUGCUCUGUGACAGUCCCAUCUCUAAAUCCAUCUCUAAACCCAACGUAACUGACCUGGGUCCGCUCCCAGCUCUGGAAAAUUACAUUUUCUUGGACAAUUCACUUAAUUUCUUUCUUACAUUGUUAAAAAAAAUCUAUGCGGUGAGGGUUUUGAAAGUACGUACUUCAAAGAAUUAUUUAGAGUAAUAAGUAAAAUAAUUCAUAUGCUUAGAAUAC
ensembl:lncRNA novel transcript